rnacentral:rRNA from 1 species
CCUACGGGUGGCAGCAGUGGGGAAUAGUGGGCAAUGGGCGCAAGCCUGACCCAGCAACGCCGCGGGAAGGAAGAAGGCUGGCGGGUGGUAAACGUCUUGUCGCAGGGACGAAGCAAGGGACGGGACCUGAGGAAUAAGCCACGGCUAACUACGGGCCAGCAGCCGCGGUAAUACGUAGGUGGCAAGCGUUAUCCGGAUUUACUGGGUGUAAAGGGCGGGGAGGCGGGAAAGCAAGUCAGAUGUGAAAACCAGGGGCGCAACCUGUGGCCUGCAUUUGAAACGGUUUUUCUUGAGGACUGGGGCGGCAGCCGGCAUUCCUUGUGUCGCGGUUAACUUCGUAGCUCUUAGGCGGCACCCCAGUGGCGCCGGCGGUCUGCUGGACCGCACCUGCCGCUGCGGCGCG